rnacentral:misc_RNA from 1 species
AAGUCAUAACAAGGUUACUGUAGGUGAACCUGCAGUAGGAUCAUUAUUGAAAAAUAGGGCUUUCCCAUUCUUUGGGGCCCGAACCUUCACAUAAUUUCCACACACUUGUGAAUCGUUGGAGCGUUUUUUGAAAAAGAGACGCUCUGGCACCCUUUAAUUAUUACAAACACUGAGUUAAUGGAUGUAGUUGUAAACUUGUCUUUUGACAGAAACAAAAAUACAACUUUCGACAACGGAUCUCUUGGUUCUCC